rnacentral:rRNA from 1 species
GAUGAACGCUAGCGGCAGGCUUAAUACAUGCAAGUCGAGGGGCAGCAUGGUGUAGCAAUACACUGAUGGCGACCGGCAAACGGGUGCGGAACACGUACAGAACCUUCCUUCGAGCGGGGAAUAGCCCAGAGAAAUUUGGAUUAAUACCCCAUAGUAUAGCGGAGAGGCAUCUCUCUGUUAUUAAAGAUUUAUCACUUGAAGAUGGCUGUGCGGCUGAUUAGGUAGUUGGCGGGGUAACGGCCCACCAAGCCCACGAUCAGUAACUGGUGUGAGAGCACGACCAGUCACACGGGCACUGAGACACGGGCCCGACUCCUACGGGAGGCAGCAGUAAGGAAUAUUGGUCAAUGGACGAAAGUCUGAACCAGCCAUGCCGCGUGGAGGAUGAAGGUCCUCUGGAUUGUAAACUUCUUUUUAUAUGGGACGAAAAAGGGUUUUCUAACUCACUUGACGGUACCAUAUGAAUAAGCACCGGCUAACUCCGUGCCAGCAGCCGCGGUAAUACGGAGGGUGCAAGCGUUAUCCGGAUUCACUGGGUUUAAAGGGUGCGUAGGUGGUUGUAAGUCAGUGGUGAAAUCCCCGAGCUUAACUCGGGGAACUGCCAUUGAUACUAUCAGUCUUGAAUACCGUGGAGGUCAGCGGAAUAUGUCAUGUAGCGGUGAAAUGCUUAGAUAUGACAUAGAACACCAAUUGCGAAGGCAGCUGGCUACCCGAAUAUUGACACUGAGGCACGAAAGCGUGGGGAUC